rnacentral:rRNA from 1 species
GACUCUCGGCAACGGAUAUCUCGGCUCUCGCAUGAUGAAGAACGUAGCGAAAUGCGAUACUUGGUGUGAAUUGCAGAAUCCCGUGAACCAUCGAAUCUUUGAACACAAGUGGUUCCCCAAGCCUUCUGGCCGAGGGCACGUCUGCCUGGGUGUCA